AGCGAACGCUGGCGGCAGGCCUAACACAUGCAAGUCGAACGAAGUCUUCGGACUUAGUGGCGGACGGGUGAGUAACACGUGGGAACGUGCCUUUAGGCUCGGAAUAACUCAGGGAAACUUGUGCUAAUACCGAAUGUGCCCUGCGGGGGAAAGAUUCAUCGCCUUUAGAGCGGCCCGCGCCUGAUUAGCUAGUUGGUGAGGUAAAGGCUCACCAAGGCUACGAUCAGUAGCUGGUCUGAGAGGAUGACCAGCCACAUUGGGACUGAGACACGGCCCAAACUCCUACGGGAGGCAGCAGUGGGGAAUCUUGCGCAAUGGGCGAAAGCCUGACGCAGCCAUGCCGCGUGGAUGAUGAAGGUCUUAGGAUUGUAAAAUCCUUUCACCGGUGAAGAUGAUGACUGUAGCCGGAGAAGAAGCCCCGGCUAACUUCGUGCCAGCCGCCGCCGUAAGAC
rnacentral:rRNA from 1 species